AAGGUAUGUGAACUCAUCGACAUGCUCGUCUACCCUGUAGAUCGAGCUGUGUGUUUGAAACAAUCAUACACGAGCUAGACUACAAGGUGCACGAACAAACCGAAGAUUUAUGAAUAUGAAG
rnacentral:precursor_RNA from 15 species